GGUUAAGUUAGAAAGGGCGCACGGUGAAUGCCUUGGCACUAGGAGCCGAUGAAGGACGGUACUAACACCGAUAUGCUUCGGGGAGCUGUAAGUAAGCUUUGAUC
rnacentral:rRNA from 1 species